CCCAUGAGCGAGCUGCUGCUGCUGGCGGCGCUGUGCGCGGGCUGCUCCGCCGCGCACGUGUACUACGGCUCCCGCGUGGUGAGUACGGGCCGGUGCUGUGCGUCAGGUGUCGCCCAUGAGCGAGCUGCUGCUGCUGGCGGCGCUGUGCGCGGGCUGCUCCGCCGCGCACGUGUACUACGGCUCCCGCGUGGUGAGUACGGGCCGGUGCUGUGCGUCAGGUGUCGCCCAUGAGCGAGCUGCUGCUGCUGGCGGCGCUGUGCGCGGGCUGCUCCGCCGCGCACGUGUACUACGGCUCCCGCGUGGUGAGUACGGGCCGGUGCUGUGCGUCAGGUGUCGCCCAUGAGCGAGCUGCUGCUGCUGGCGGCGCUGUGCGCGGGCUGCUCCGCCGCGCACGUGUACUACGGCUCCCGCGUGGUACAAGAGAUGUGCGAUCAUUUCAACAUACAGUGUUUCCAUAUAAAGCCAAAGGUAACAUAAGUAUCGUAGAUUGUAUGAUGUUAUUUAGAACUCUCUUAUUCUUAUAACUUGUACUGUGUAUUGACUUUCUCCAUUUUAUCCCUACUUCCGUAGCCACAUAUACCUCAGAUUUAUUUUAAUUUAGGUAAUUUAUUGUUAACGUGGUUUUGGCGGUGAGGGUAUGAAUCUCAUUCAUAAUAUAUUUUAAGGGUAUGUGUGCGAUAGAGUUAAUCAAUAUUUUUUAUUGGCAGCUGUAUAAGCUAAUUAAUUAGUCAAAAACGCUGCUAACAUUCGAGUGGACCUCGACGUAGCUGAAUGUAUUCAAUAUAUUCUUAAAGAUUACAGAUCUACAAUUAUAUUUGCUCAUUUAAUUUUAAUGUUUAAUAAGGUUCGGUUAGGUAAUACUUCUUCCAAAUAUUAUUUUGUAACUAAAUAGGAGUAGGUUUAAUAUAAAUCAAAAACUGCCGUAUCUAACGAGUUUUGUGGAUUUUAUACAUUUAUGUAUGUUUAUUUACACAACUGAUUUGUUAUUAUUUAUUUUUAAUUUAGUUAAAUGAAUUUUAAAUCUUGUAAAUUGGUAGUAGUUGCCCUUUAGCAGGCUAAUACCCAAAUUAUGCGUGAUAUACUAUACCAUAUCUACAACUCUAAAAUUUCCAGUGGUUAGAAUAAUAAGAUUAUUUCCUAUUUUAUAAAACUGGUGUUACUAGUAAAACUAGUCAUGUUUUUUAAUAUUAUUGCCAUUUUUGCCAUAAGUAAUUGAUAUUAAAUAUCUGAAACCAAAUGUAAUGUUAUAAUAUUAUGACAAACAAUUUUAGUCAAUUUCUAUUCAAAAUCUGUAUUUUGGUAGAUUGUUGAUAUUUUAUACACUUUUGAUCUAACAUACUAUGACAGUUAUUUACUAUUUGUAUAUUUCUCAUCAAUAUUGUAUACUGUAUAUUUUGGAAUAACUCUUUUGUCUGAUUUGAUAGUAAUAUAAUUUUAAAUAAUUAAGUGACCAGUAAUAUUUUGAAAUAUUUGUUGUUUGUGAUUUACCUUAGUAACGGUUAUGGGCCUGUUUCACCUUCCAAAAUUACAACUCGAAUAUGUUACAAAAUUGGUUUGAAAACAAAUAGGUGUCACGUACAAAUCAUGCUAAAAUGAAAACACGCUUAUCUUCGCAGCGUCCUUAUUUCAAAGCAGGGAUGUUUCCGCACACAUUUUCCUAUUGACUCCAAACUAAAUACAAAACAUUAAGCAAUGUGAAGAAUAUGAAAUAUUUGUACAAAUACCUGGUAUUUCUUUCCACUAUCACUACAAAAAUUAACUUGGCCUAAAUCUGUCAUAGUCUAUCGAAGUUAAAGAACUAUCGUAAUUUUUAGUUGAAUUGCCGCAUUUCCCCGUCGUGAAACAGGCCUCGUUAUUGGUAGAUCACCUUUGUACUAAGCUACCUAAAGUCAGUUUUUCUCUUAGGUGGCGGAUAGAGUGAAGUAAAGAAUAUUUAAAUCUUCAAAAGUUACGGAACUAAAUUCCCGAUUUGACAUUUCUGUAAAAAAAAUAGAAUUUAUGUGUACUUACUUUUAUUUCUUCAAAAAUAAGCGUAAUUGAAACUUCAUGUGCCAGCCACCACAAGAAAAACUGAUAUAAUACUAUAACUGUUGUCUGUACUGUAAUACAGGGGGACUUUUAAAUCAUUGGCAUCCUUUUAAACUACUCUACUCCACUCAUGGUAAAUAGUACAUUUCCUGAAUAUGACACAAUUGACACAAAUCCAAUGAGUUUUUUGUCUUAAUUUUACUAUUUAUUUGUAUUAGUGUGAUCUUAUAAAGAGUUUAAAACGAUUGUAAAGUUAACAGCACAUUUUUGUUGCAUAUUAAGUAAUAUUAACACCUAAUACAUCGAAAUAAGAUGCCACAGUGUAAUGUUUUAAUUUUUGAAAUUAUAAAUCAUUGAAUUUGUCUCAUAUUCAGGGAAUGUACUAUGAACCAUGAGUAGAGUCUUAGUUUAAAAGGAUGCCAACGAUUUAAAAGUCAUCCUGUCUAAAGAUGUAGGUAACAUUUUUGCAUUUUAAAAGAAAAAUGAAGACUUAUAAAAUGGAGCAUUUAAAUUUAAGCUUGACCGCUGCUAGCGCGACAGCUAACGCCAUCAUCACCAUCACCAUAGCAUUAUAGACUCAUUAGUAACGAGUUGCGCUCACGGCGGUUAAUCUAUAGUAGAAUACUAUGCAUAGAAGGAUGUAAUAAGAAAUACAUUUUUUGUUAAACUUUUACAUACACACAACAUGAAUGUAUUGUGAUAAUUAUUUAAUAUCUGUUAAAAAAAUAAUGUAGUUAAAAUCAUUGUCACUUUUGAGGAGUUCUACAUAGGGUUACCUGUCUGCCCAGUACAACUAAGCAAUUAAAAAUAACAAAAGGUCUUAAGGUUCAUCAAUAUGUUACGAAUGGCAACCCUAGUUCUACAGUGGGCUUGAUUUUAAAAUGGCAUCCACAUAAUCAUGCUAAUUCAAUAACCGAAUUAAAAGCAUGCCAAGUGCGCCGGUUCUUUCAGGCAGCGGAUGUUUUUGUAUGGGUAUGGUUGGAUGGCGACGACGGAUGGUGUGCGCCAGCCACCUACAAAUCUGAAUCCGCUUAAGGGCGUAGCACAUUUAUCAACCCGGAAAGGGAUCGUAACUGUAUCAACUCGAGGCGGUCAGUAUUCUUUGUAUGAAACUCCAUACUUCAACGCACACUUAUCCGCACCGUAACGUAAACGCCUCGCCUCGCAAUUGACAGCGCACGGAACAGUAGCGGCGUAAGGGGGGCGGUGGGGGCGGUCCGCCCCGGGUGCCAAGCAUCAGGGGGUGACACAAGUCCCGCACUGGCGCGGAAGGCGAUGACAGCUCGUAAAAGGCGAUACAAGUGUUGAUGCCUCUAAUCCAUAUCUGUGGUUGAUCCCUUUCCGAGUUGAUAUGUCGACUUUACCAGAGUAAAUACAAAUGAGUAGGUUAUCUUCAUAGAAACGCACCGGGCGGGCGCGGUUUGUAUGGGAGCGCGCCAAUACGUAUGCGGCGCGCACGCAGACACUGACAAGACAAUUGCCCUUUAAAAAGAAUCGAGCCUAUUUUUAUAUGAGCCGGUACAAAGCCUUUUUAAUAAAUUGAUAGUUGAAGAGUGUCUGAAUAUUGUUAAAAUAUAAAAUGGACAAGAGACUGAGCUAAAUUUCUGCAGGAAAUACCUAUCAAUGUUUACGCCCUCUUUGGUAGGAAAGUCAAUGAUUAGGGUCUUAGGUGCCCCAAUGUGUAUUGUAUUAAACGUUUCCUGUUUUACUUCAUAUAAUUACACAAAUCCUAGCCAGAAA